rnacentral:SRP_RNA from 1 species
CCGUGCUAGGCGGGGAGCUAGCGGUUCCCUGUACCCGCAAUCCGCUACAGCGGGGCUGAACCCCCGUCCAGAGGCGGCAUCUCUUGGGGCCAGGCCCUCGUGCGCAGCGAGGAAGGCCGGGUCCUGUGCAACGGGAACUGACCAACCCCGCCAGGCCCGGGAGGGAGCAACGGUACGUCAGCCAUCCCGUGUGCCGCAGGGACACCUGGCCGGAGCCGGCGGCGGGGAUACCGCCCGGGGGGUGACCGUCGACGGCGGGUGCACGG